CGAGCGGGACAAGAUGAUCGCGCCGUGGUGCCCUCGGGCACCCACGUCGAGGAAAGUCCGGGCUCCACAGGGCAGGGUGCUGGUUCGACGCCAGUCGGGGUGACCCGAAGGAAAGUGCCACAGAGAACAGACCGCCCGCGUCCGCGCGGGUAAGGGUGAAACGGUGUGGUAAGAGCACACCGGGUCCUCGGCGACGAGGACCGCAUGGUAAACCCCAUCCGGAGCAAGGCCGAACAGGGGCAGGCGGUGUCCGCGAGGAUUCCGCCAGGGGCUGCCCGUCCCGUCCCGGGUGCGCCGCACGAGAGGAAUGAUCAUCACCCGCAUGCGAGCAAUCGCGGCGGGGACAGAACCCGGCUUACGACCCGUCUCGACCG
rnacentral:RNase_P_RNA from 2 species